rnacentral:lncRNA from 1 species
GGUCUUAGACCUUCUAUUAAUGAUUGUAUCAACUUACAAACUCAGGUAGAUAAUUUUUUAAGCUCUUUUCAUAGAGCCUUACUGACUGAAUGUUAAGUGUCUGUGUAGUGACGUAGUUAAGUAACUUCCUUUUGAACUACCAGACUAGUUUAAAAAGAAAAAGUCCUUUUAGAGGUUUGUAGAGUACUCUUCAGCCAAUGUAGUAAUUUUUCCUUCAGAGGGAGAGAUGUCUGUUUCUGGGUUUUGUUUUUAGUUUCUUUGCUAAAAUGACUAAAAGGUUUUUAACUAGUUCGUAAGGUGUGUGUAGUCACCUGAGUUGGUGGGGGUUUCUUACUGUAUGUGACUCUUGUUUGUACUGUGCAUUACCUGUCAUGCGCUGCCUGGUUCAUGCACAAAUUCGGUGGAGUAGCGAGGGUGCAAUUUCAGUCAAACAGAUUGGCAGCCUUGAACAAAACUGGGGUCAUCCACAUAGAACCAAUGUUACUGCAUUUUCUUCUCCUCAUUUAACUGUGGAUGUAUGGCCUCAUCUUACAAAGCUUCGUUACCACUGUGAGCAGCGUUGCCUUGGUGCAGGUUUGCAUCAGGAUCCUGAAGGAUUUGGUCAGGCCAUAGAUGUUUGGCAUCUUGAGUCAGUUUUGUAGUUCCCUCUGCUGUUGCAGUUAUUUCUUUCCUACUGUAGCUGAUGCUGCUGCUCUCCUAAUGAUGAUAAAUGUCUCAGCAGGACAGGCAGCGUUCUGCUUUUAAUGAGCUGUUCAGAGCUUUUAUAUCUAAUUGAUAAUGAGACAGGCAGUGACAAGAACGUCCAUGCUCCAAAAAGGGCAUCAGUCACAUUUUUACUUGGACAAAAAGCGACAUGAUUUUCAGAUGUUGAGUACUGCAGAGGGGGAAGCAUGACAGGUUAUGUGCAAACUUUUACGUAGAAUAAGCAAGCAAAAAUGUUAGAACCCUUGUGUUAAUGGAGGCUUCUGAAUGUAUCUUUGUGGUCCAUAGGGAAGGCUGAAGGAUGUAGCAAGGAGAUGAUGUAUCAGCUACUGGCAGCCUUAAAACAAAGUCAGUGUCUCUCUGGACUUUAAAAUGUUCCUAUGCAGUUUAUUUUAUUUUUGUUUAAUCAAAUAAAUGUGAGGAGUUUUUUUCAUGGCAAA